rnacentral:rRNA from 1 species
CCUACGGGUGGCAGCAGUGAGGAAUAUUGGUCAAUGGGCGUAAGCCUGAACCAGCCAAGUCGCGGGAGGGAUGAAGGUUCUAUGGAUCGUAAACCUCUUUUAGAAGGGAAUAAAGUGUGGGACGUGUCCUAUUUUGUAUGUACCUUAUGAAUAAGGAUCGGCUAACUCCGUGCCAGCAGCCGCGGUAAUCCGGAGGAUCCGAGCGUGAUCCGGAUUUAUUGGGUUUAAGGGGUGCGUAGGCGGCCUUUUAAGUCAGCGGUGAAAGUCUUUGGCUCAACCAUAGAAUUGUCGUUGAAACUGGGGGGCUUGAGUAUGUUUGAGGCAGGCGGAAUGCGUGGUGUAGCGGUGAAAUGCUUAGAUAUCACGCAGAACCCCGAUUGCGAAGGCAGCCUGCCAAGCCAUGACUGACGCUGAUGCACGAAAGCGUGGGGAUCAAACAGGAUUAGAUACCCGAGUAGUC